UAAUACGUAGGUGGCAAGCGUUGUCCGGAUUUAUUGGGCGUAAAGCGAGCGCAGGCGGUUUCUUAGGUCUGAUGUGAAAGCCUUCGGCUUAACCGGAGAAGUGCAUCGGAAACCAGGAGACUUGAGUGCAGAAGAGGACAGUGGAACUCCAUGUGUAGCGAUGAAAUGCGUAGAUAUAUGGAAGAACACCAGUGGCGAAGGCGGCUGUCUGGUCUGUAACUGACGCUGAGGCUCGAAAGCAUGGGUAGCGAACAGGAUUAGAUACCCUGGUAGUCCAUGCCGUAAACGAUGAGUGCUAAGUGUUGGAGGGUUUCCGCCCUUCAGUGCUGCAGCUAACGCAUUAAGCACUCCGCCUGGGGAGUACGACCGCAAGGUUGAAACUCAAAGGAAUUGACGGGGGCCCGCACAAGCGGUGGAGCAUGUGGUUUAAUUCGAUGCUACGCGAAGAACCUUACCAGGUCUUGACAUCUUCUGCCAACCUAAGAGAUUAGGCGUUCCCUUCGGGGACAGAAUGACAGGUGGUGCAUGGUUGUCGUCAGCUCGUGUCGUGAGAUGUUGGGUUAAGUCCCGCAACGAGCGCAACCCUUAUUGUUAGUUGCCAGCAUUUAGUUGGGCACUCUAGCAAGACUGCCGGUGACAAACCGGAGGAAGGUGGGGAUGACGUCAAAUCAUCAUGCCCCUUAUGACCUGGGCUACACACGUGCUACAAUGGACGGUACAACGAGUCGCGAAACCGCGAGGUCAAGCUAAUCUCUUAAAGCCGUUCUCAGUUCGGAUUGCAGGCUGCAACUCGCCUGCAUGAAGUUGGAAUCGCUAGUAAUCGUGGAUCAGCAUGCCACGGUGAAUACGUUCCCGGGCCUUGUACACACCGCCCGUCACACCAUGAGAGUUUGUAACACCCAAAGCCGGUGAGGUAACCUUCGGGGACCAGCCGUCUAAGGUGGGACAGAUGAUUAGGGUG
rnacentral:rRNA from 1 species